AGUGAACGCUGGCGGUAGGCCUAACACAUGCAAGUCGAACGGCAGCACAGUAAGAGCUUGCUCUUACGGGUGGCGGGUGGCGGACGGGUGAGGAAUACAUCGGAAUCUACUUUUUCGUGGGGGAUAACGUAGGGAAACUUACGCCAAUACCGCAUACGACCUACGGGUGAAAGCAGGGGAUCUUCGGACCUUGCGCGAUUGAAUGAGCCGAUGUCGGAUUAGCUAGUUGGCGGGGUAAAGGCCCACCAAGGCGACGAUCCGUAGCUGGUCUGAGAGGAUGAUCGGCCACACUGGAACGGAGACACGGUCCAGACUCCUACGAGAGGCAGCAGUGGGGAAUAUGGGACAAUGGGCGCAAGCCUGAUCCAGCCAUACCGCGUGGGUGAAGAAGGCCUUCGGGUUGUAAAGCCCUUUUGUUGGGAAAGAAAAGCAGCAGGUUAAUACCCCGCUGUUCUGACGGUACCCAAAGAAUAAGCACCGGCUAACUUCGUG
rnacentral:rRNA from 1 species